ensembl:lincRNA
ACACACACACAGACACAGACACAGACACAGACACACACACACAGACACACACACGGACACACACACAGAGACACACACACGGACACACAGACACAGACACACACACAGACACACAUACACACAGAGACACAGACACACACACACAGACACAGACACAGACACACAGACACACACGGACACACAGACACAGACACACACACAGACACAGACACACACACAUACGGCUAGCCACAUCUGGAGUCUCCGUGGCUCCCUUGUUCCCUCGCUUCAUCUCUCCAUCUGUCGUGUGGUCCCCAGGCUGCCUGACCCUUCAUGCUGAUGGCCAUGCAGACCUGCUCCCCUCCCCCACUAACCCAGCGAACCUGGCACCUGCUGGCACCAGGGGCUUCCCUGGAGAGAAGCAGGCAAGAGAUCAAGGAGGGCUACGCACUCUGUCGCUUCCAGGGCCUGGGGGACCCGCUCCACUUCGGUGAAGUGAGUGCGCACAGCGGCGUCAUCUCCCUGGAGCCAGCUGAUGGCCAUGGUGAUGGCGGACGUCCACCACCGACAGACGACGUCUGGGCCUAGAGGCGAACAGAACCAAACGCCGUUCCAGCGCUGCAGAGACUAGAGCCCCCCUGUUCGUGCCGUCUCUCCCUCCGGAAGACGGGCUGGGGCCUGUGGGCCGCCCUCUCACAUCCACCAGCCCCAUCUCAGAACAUGUUUGGCAAUUUGCCUUAACAGCCUUAAAAAUGUUCACUCCUAUUAACCUAGGAAUCUCAUUUUUGAAAAUCCAUCACAAAGAGAUGAGCCUAAACAGAGAAAAAAAAGAUGUUCACUCUGGUGUUAUUUUUAAGGAAGAAGCUGCAAACAGCCCAAACUUCCAACAGCUGUGAAAAACAGUGUUUCCAGAAUAUGUGUAGGAACAGUGCAGGUACAAUCCUUCUAGUGUUUUCCUCUCUGAGGCCUAGUUCUCUCAGUGAACCUGCACGUGAAAUGCCUAACAGCGCGUUGUUUCCUCAGCUUGGAAAUGAGACAGGCCAUGAGGUCAGAGGUCAUGAUGGGGAGGCUGCUCCUCUGGGAUACUACCCUCCAUGGGGAGAGCUGUCAGAGGGAGCUCCACGCCCUCUCCUGCAGCCUCAGCCAGGUGAGAGGCGGCCGCUGUCAUGUUGUCCCCUGGAUGACAGUUUAGAGACGGGAGCAGAGUGUCCUGCUGCCAGUUCAGUCAGCAGUUGUGUGGCCAUCCGAGGCAGUGGGUGCCGGAGCAGUACGGACGCCAGCAGAAAGGCCUCUCUGGCAGAGAGCAUCAGACCCAAGAGCAGCCCCAGGGACCACUGUGUACUGAAAGGUCUGGGUCCCCAAGAUGUCUGGGCCAGAGGCAUCUGCCUUCUGCUGACCGUCCCACACUCCAUUCCAAAGGCCACCCUCCCCCUGCCAAAGGGCAAAGCUAAAGAAAUCAAAUCCCCGACCUGCUCCAAGAACUGACUCCACUCGGUGAUACAGCUUUCUUCUUGGCCUGAGGUUUUACCAAGGACUCCACUGCUCGCUCCAGCAGGUUCUUACAGAAGGCCUGGUGCACCUGGGCGAUGGGGUCGGCUGGAGAAGAGGAGGAAGCCAGGAGAGGGGUGAGUGGGACUCACUUAGGAGCUCAGUUUGUCCUACAGAGAAAACAGGGCAUGGUGGGGGAACCCAAGGAACAGAUGUCUCCUCUGAAUGGGGACAAACCUCCCCAGCGAAACCCCAGAACUGCUUGCUGAACAGCGGGGGGUGGGCGGGCGGAGGGUGGUCA